GUCAUGGAGGACUUGUUUGCUGUCGAGGUCUUUGGUGACGAGCUACAGGCAGGUGAUGAGGAGUUCACCAUGGUUGUAGGGUACAGGAAGAUCUUCAGUUUCCUUACUUUGCUUGGACUGAGGUAGGACCAGUAGAGAUGUGGUUCUUUCCAAGGCAUUUCCUGUUGAUCUUGUCAGCAUCCGGUAUGGUGAGGUUAGAAAAACUUCUUAUUUUCAUUGAAGUUCAACGAGUGUAAAAGAAGCGAUAUAUUCAGUACGAGCUGCAGAUCAUUCAUGCUUCUCAUGGAUGCGUUAUUUCUUCUUACCUACACAGUAGACUAAAGACAUACCUACCACAGAGCCACUUUCAAUUCUGCUUUCCAA